rnacentral:rRNA from 1 species
AUUGAACGCUGGCGGCAGGCUUAACACAUGCAAGUCGAGCGGAGAUGAGGUGCUUGCACCUUAUCUUAGCGGCGGACGGGUGAGUAAUGCUUAGGAAUCCGCCUAUUAGUGGGGGACAACAUUCCGAAAGGAAUGCUAAUACCGCAUACGUCCUACGGGAGAAAGCAGGGGAUCUUCGGACCUUGCGCUAAUAGAUGAGCCUAAGUCGGAUUAGCUAGUUGGUGGGGUAAAGGCCUACCAAGGCGACGAUCUGUAGCGGGUCUGAGAGGAUGAUCCGCCACACUGGGACUGAGACACGGCCCAGACUCCUACGGGAGGCAGCAGUGGGGAAUAUUGGACAAUGGGGGGAACCCUGAUCCAGCCAUGCCGCGUGUGUGAAGAAGGCCUUAUGGUUGUAAAGCACUUUAAGCGAGGAGGAGGCUACUGAGACUAAUACUCUUGGAUAGUGGACGUUACUCGCAGAAUAAGCACCGGCCAACUCUGUGCCAGCCGCCGCCGUAAGAC